rnacentral:ribozyme from 16 species
GAUUCUUUUUUUUUUUUUUUUUUUUUUUUUUUUUUUUCUAAACUUCU